UCAAUGUAGUCUGGUAUGAAGAAUUACGUAUGAAACUUGUCUCAACUUUAUGAUUUAGUAUAAUUUAAUAAAAAAGUGAAAAUACUUUUAAUAUUAAAUAAAAGACGAGAAGACCCUUAGAAUUUUUUCUAUAAGUAGGUUUGUAACUUACUUCGUUUUAGUUGGGGCAACUUUAUUUCAUCUAAUAAAUAAUAAUAUUAAUUUUAUAUGCCGAUUUAAUAAGUAAAUUAAAAUUACCUAAGGGAUAACAGCAUAAUUUUAUAAAUAAGUUUGUGACCUCGAUGUUGGACAC
rnacentral:rRNA from 1 species